ensembl:lncRNA novel transcript
GGGACCUCAUCAGUGAAGGAAGUGGUCAGUUGGAAUCUUGUCAGUUGGGCGCAGUCAGCCUGGCAGCAAAAGCCUCAUCCGUGGGUUCUGGAUAGUGAGGCCUGGUCACUGGAGGCCUGGCCGUGGAACCUGGCCCAGGACAUGGAGAUGCCCGAUGCUGGGAGGAGGCACAGACAGCAGGAAGGAGAGAAGGAAGGAACUUCCAUAGUAUGGAUGCCUACGAAGUUACAACACGUGGUUCCAUCGCCAUGUUCUCUGUUUAUUUCCCACAUAAUUCUCUAUUCUAAACUGGCCUCAGUUGAGCACAAAACCAUCCUUGUACUACCACAAAUAGUUGGCCAUGGCUCUUUGAUAGCAGUUUUUAUUCUGCUGUGGAAAUUAUCCUUGAACUGGAAAAAGUCCCCAAUCCAACAUCCAGUCACUCAACACUCUCAUCUUUAUAAAGAGCUGCUUUCAAAUUCUACAUCGAUUUUUGGAAAAAUAUGUAUUGCUCUGGUAAAAAGUGCUGCAUCUAUGAUCUCAAACCUCUCCCUCGAAUUGGAUGGAGAUGGUGAAUUUCAGCCAAAGUGGCCAAAGAACUCGUGUCCCACGCUCCUGAACGCCAUCAGCCCCCGCACCUCCAUCAUUCCUCCUCCCACGAGUCUCCUGCUCCCCGUGACUUUGGCCUUCUCUCGGUGCUGCUGAGGCACAUCAGGAAGUGCUGGAGGACGUGGCACUGCGCCAGCACUGGGCGGCCGGCCGUGUAGCUCAUCCCGCAGAUCGUGCUCUACCUGUGCUUGGAGAUGAAGUCCUCCUGGAAGCAGCUCGUGGCCCACUUCUCAGGCAUCAUCACUUCAUCACUGCCCUGACUGUCCUGGUUGCCACGAAAGAGCUGCUGAGGCCACGGCUGUCGGGCACGCCUGCCGUCUGAAGCCUGCACCGGCUGCUGAAAGGUAUUCAGUGGUGGCACGUGCUGCGGCUGUAGCACCGGCUGGAAAGUGUCAGGAAGGGGUCUCAAGGAGGUGGGCAGCAUACCGGGCAUGGCCUCGAAGCCUCCUGACAGCAUGUUGGCAGCGUGGCUGAGAUGCUGGGGCCACCAUCACCUGCCAGUCCCAGCUUGGAGUCAUAGAUCACCUGCACGGCACAGAUGAGGCUGGGAAGAGGCCACAGUCACUGUAGCCAUGGACGCUCUUGAGCAGCCCUUGAUGUCCUGCUCCCGCACAGGCUCAGCACCUCGUGUUCCUGCAGCAAGUUCUUGCCGGGGUUCUCUGACCUGAAAUGGUACAACAACCGGGUGAGGUGUGCCAUGUCCCCUGCGUGGCCAUCGGUGCUGCAGCUAAAGGCCCAUGGCACCCCGGUGCCCUCCCCUACCAAGCAGGGCUGGGGUUGAGGCCGGGCCCCUCUGGACCUAGGACUUGUGCCCUGGGAGGGGACUCUGUCCAACAAGUCAAAUCAGAGGCCACAGGGCAUGCUCCUGGCUGGCCAGGGCUGGGAGGACACCACGUUCACCCCUCCCUCUGGCAGCCUGAAAGGGACCAGCUUCCCUGUUGAGAGGGACUUCAUAAGGCCCAGGAGCCAUCUGGGGCUGCAGAGCAACUGGCUGGGAGCUGCCCUGGCUCCUUCCAUGCCAUGCUAGUCAUUGCCCACCAAGAGGGGUCCGAUGCAAGUGCCCCCAUGCAAGGGACUUAUCUCUGGACCUGCCUCUCAGUUCUCACGGGGCCCAGCAGGGCCUGGUGUUGUGGCCAAGAUGGGGUUGCAGGGCUGGGCCCCACUGAUGGUCCUGGGGCUGUGUAGGGUGGAUGUGGAAGGGACGGAGCACAGCAUCCCUGUUCAAAAUUGCACAAUGGGAACCACGGGCCUCUGACAGCCAAGUCUCUGGGCAGCUUCGGGAGGGAGUUCAGAAAAUGCAUGGGUCCAUUCUGAACCCUCAGGAUCCCCAGAGAGCAACCUGCUGCCCUGAGCUUUCUGGAAGCUCCUUCGUGCCCCUGGGCCUCAGUCUUGGAGACUGCCAGCCAGGUCAGGGUGGGAGAGGACCAGGGUUGCAUUCCGGGGUAGGGGGCUGGCUGCAUGGACCCCUGGAGCUAAGCUGGUAGGCAGGGGCGGGCCAGCCCAUCUCCCUUGCAGAGGGGCUCAAUGCCAGGGUAUGCUCACAGAGGCCUGGGUGCCAAGGACCCUCGAUUGGGUUUGGCUGAAAAAAUAGCAGAUGCGAGCGGUCAGCUUCUCCUCCAAGUCCAUUAAGUCCUCACAAGGCUGGGCCCCACAGACCUGGGUCUCUGGUGUCCUCAGCA